rnacentral:rRNA from 1 species
GACGAACGCUGGCGGCGUGCUUAACACAUGCAAGUCGAACGGAAAGGCCCUGCUUUUGUGGGGUGCUCGAGUGGCGAACGGGUGAGUAACACGUGAGUAACCUGCCCUUGACUUUGGGAUAACUUCAGGAAACUGGGGCUAAUACCGGAUAGGAGCUCCUGCUGCAUGGUGGGGGUUGGAAAGUUUCGGCGGUUGGGGAUGGACUCGCGGCUUAUCAGCUUGUUGGUGGGGUAGUGGCUUACCAAGGCUUUGACGGGUAGCCGGCCUGAGAGGGUGACCGGCCACAUUGGGACUGAGAUACGGCCCAGACUCCUACGGGAGGCAGCAGUGGGGAAUAUUGCACAAUGGGCGGAAGCCUGAUGCAGCAACGCCGCGUGCGGGAUGACGGCCUUCGGGUUGUAAACCGCUUCCGCCUGUGACGAAGCGUGAGUGACGGUAAUGGGUAAAGAAACACCGGCUAACUACGU